GAAAAAAAAACAUAAACAACACUCCCAAUAGCGGCGGCCGUACUGCAACCCCGGCACCAGUUCGUCGGUGAUUGCGACGGUUAUUUUCCCCGGAAGUGCCGCAUGAUGUCAAGCUGUUGUAUGCGGAAGCGCAUCAGCUCAUCCCAUCGCUUCUGCAAAUCGGAAUUAAGUGGAUCAGUUUGAGCGACGAUUCAAAGUUGGCGACCUUCCCCACUUUGAAGGUGGAUACCGUUCUAUGGGAACGGUUCCACAUUUUCAUUUAUAUUCAGCUUACAUCUAAACAGACAACACUGAAUAAACAAAUAGACGCCACUAUAAAAGGUUCGAAGCAACAUCUCUCCAUCCUCGGUUGCGCCCCACGCUCGUCAAAUCGAUUUACACUUGGUUCGCCCACCAAGCUCGCUGUGCUCCAUGCCUUUUUGUACCUGCCGGGUCGGAAGCGAAAACCAUGUUUACAGUGUUGCUGUCCGGCAUCUUUGCAACUGCCCUGCCCAUCGUACCCUUCCAGCUUUAGCACCGUUCUUUUGCACACCGCCAAAGAUGGUCCUAAGCACGUGUAAAUAUCAGAGCCGAGAGAUCCGUUUGUAUUUGAAUCUGCCGAAGGACUUCUAAAUUAUUCCUGACAGCAAUCACAAUUUUGAACAGGGAAAAGUUGUGGAUUAGUUCUUGGAUGGAGAUGGAGAACAAAUUGCCUAUCGAAUAUCUCUAUUGGGCAACAUCAUGCUGGGCCCGAACAAAAACAUAUUGCGAUUCAGACAAUCGACGCCGUGGGCUUUUUAUCGAUGCGCACUAUCAGCCUCGUGGAAAACCAACGCGCACUUGCAGUUUUCGAGAGUAAAGUUUUGCGUACUAUCUAUGGCGGGGUGCCGAUGGAAGACGGUAUAUGGAGGAGGCGAAUGAACCACGAGUUGCAACAGCUGUUGGGAGAACCAACCACAAAAAUCAACAGACUGCGGUGGGCCGAACACGUAGCUAGAAUGUCGGACAAUAAACCGGUGAAAAAGUUUCUCGAUAAUAAUCCGGGCGCAAGAAGGCGAGGUGCGAAGCGAGCAAAAUGGAUCGAUGAGGUGGAAAACGAUUUGCGGACCCUCCACAGACUGCGUGGUUGGCGACGUAAAGCCAUGGACCGAGCUGAAUGUAGACGAGUGUUAUGUACUGUAUAGGCCACCGCCGCCUUAGACUGAAUAAAUAAAUAAAU